AUACGGAGGGUGCAAGCGUUGUUCGGAAUUAUUGGGCGUAAAGCGCGUGUAGGCGGUCUGUUAAGUCUGGUGUGAAGGCCCUGGGCUCAACCCAGGAAGUGCAUUGGAUACUGGCAGACUUGAGUAUGGGAGAGGAAAGCGGAAUUCCGAGUGUAGGAGUGAAAUCCGUAGAUAUUCGGAGGAACACCAGUGGCGAAGGCGGCUUUCUGGACCAAUACUGACGCUGAGACGCGAAAGCGUGGGGAGCAAACAGGAUUAGAAACCCUAGUAGUCC
rnacentral:rRNA from 1 species